AGGGCACCACCUGGAGUGGAGCCUGCGGCUUAUUUUGACUCAACACAGGAAACCUCACCCGGCCCGGACACGGACAGGAUUGACAGAUCGAUAGCUCUUUCUCAAUUCCGUGGUUGAUGGUGCAUGGCCGUUCUUAGUUGGCGAAUGGAUUUUUCUGGUUAAUUCUAAUAACGAACGAGACUCUGGUAUGCUAUCUAUUUUUGCCACCCCCCCAGCGGUGGGCAUCCCCCCACUUCUUGAGGGGAUACCAUCUGGCCCCACACCCAAAAUGAUACAAUAACAACCCUGUGAUGCCCUUACCAUGUCCGGGGCUGCUCACGCGCUCCGCCGGCUGGGCCAACCUCAGCAUACCUUACGCAAGUUUGUCCGGCUAACUCGUUUAACCUAAUUGUUGCGGGGAAUCGGGGAUAGUAUAUCUCCCCAUGAAACAAAGAAUCCCCGUAAAUGCCCGGAUCAAAAGGUAUGCAUUAAUUAUGUCUCGUCUUUUGUGUGCACUCAACCCAAGCUACAGACCGAAUG
rnacentral:rRNA from 1 species